rnacentral:rRNA from 1 species
GAUGAACGCUGGCGGCGUGCCUAAUACAUGGAAGUCGAGCGAACAGAUGAGGAGCUUGCUCCUCUGACGUUAGCGGCGGACGGGUGAGUAACACGUGGAUAACCUACCUAUAAGACUGGGAUAACUUCGGGAAACCGGAGCUAAUACCGGAUAAUAUAUUGAACCGCAUGGUUCAAUAGUGAAAGACGGUUUUGCUGUCACUUAUAGAUGGAUCCGCGCCGCAUUAGCUAGUUGGUAAGGUAACGGCUUACCAAGGCAACGAUGCGUAGCCGACCUGAGAGGGUGAUCGGCCACACUGGAACUGAGACACGGUCCAGACUCCUACGGGAGGCAGCAGUAGGGAAUCUUCCGCAAUGGGCGAAAGCCUGACGGAGCAACGCCGCGUGAGUGAUGAAGGUCUUCGGAUCGUAAAACUCUGUUAUUAGGGAAGAACAAAUGUGUAAGUAACUAUGCACGUCUUGACGGUACCUAAUCAGAAAGCCACGGCUAACUACGUG